rnacentral:rRNA from 1 species
CCUACGGGGGGCAGCAGUGGGGAAUAUUGGACAAUGGGGGCAACCCUGAUCCAGCCAUGCCGCGUGUGUGAAGAAGGCCCUCGGGUUGUAAAGCACUUUCAGUGAGGAAGAACGCCUGGUGGUUAAUACCCAUCAGGAAAGACAUCACUCACAGAAGAAGCACCGGCUAACUCCGUGCCAGCAGCCGCGGUAAUACGGAGGGUGCGAGCGUUAAUCGGAAUUACUGGGCGUAAAGCGCGCGUAGGUGGCUUGAUAAGCCGGUUGUGAAAGCCCCGGGCUCAACCUGGGAACGGCAUCCGGGAAGGAUACAGCAGGAGUGCAGGGGCGGAAGGGAGAAGUACCGGGGUGGAGGUGAAGGGCGUAGAGCACGGGAGGAAGACCAGGGGAGAAGGGGGCCUAAGGGACUGACACUGACAUGGAGGUACGAAAGCGUGGGGAGCAAACAGGAUUAGAGCGCCUAGUAGGC